CAGGUGCCAGAACCAAGCUGGCAGCACGACUCUUGUCGCGAUAUUUGGCAGCUGAGCGUGACAUGAUUCCGAGGAGAUGUUUUCUGCAGAUUAAUAUGGAUAUUUAUCAAUUUGAUACAUACCGAAGGCAGCAGCGAUCAUGUCUCAACACUGCAAACCCUAGGGAGUUUUUUAAGCACUUGACACCUUGGGUUCUGCCUCACCCACUCCAGGAUCCCCACUCACAGCAAGUCCUACAUUUAGAUGAUACAAAUGGAGUCUAACAGACAACGCUUUCAUAUUUGUUAAUUCACAUUCCAGCAAUCACAAAACAGCAAGAUGGUUGCUAGGUAAAUACUCAAUAACUAUUACCAUUCCAAACAACUAAUUCCACACUCUUUUUACCCCUUUACACUUGUAGGAAUUCACCUAUAUGGAUAGGGCUAAAUUGAAAUGUAUCAUACAGAAGAAUUAUGAAAAUGCAUAACCAUGGUAGCAAUUGAAAGGGAAGAGUUUGUAGAUAAUGGGAAAAUUAUUAGAUCAAAGGUGAGUACACAACAGUUCACCUGACACAAGACUGAAGACAAACAUUAUACUUUUGAUUUUAUGUACAUUUUACAUUUACUGUACAUUUACUGUAUCAUCCAAGUUCACUAGGCAAGUUGCCCAUGGAAGGACUCACAGUACCAUCUCCAUUAGUCUCUGGAAUGUUGCCGGAGCAUUGCCGAGUCCCAUUGGCCCACUUCCUGUUGUGAAUGCUGUCUUCUCACUUACUUGCUCCUCUAGCUCCACUUGCCAGUAAUGAUUCUGAAGGUCCAUUGUUGAGAACCAUGCGGAACCAGACAGUGCAUCCAAGGCAUAAUCGACUCUUGGCAGCCUGUUCGACCUUGGUCUUCUGAACUCUUGCUGAAGACAUCAGUGUACUUCUGCAGAUCAGUGUACUUGAGAAGUGAUUUCAGUGACUGAGCUUGAGCGCAGUCAUCUAUCAUCACAGGAGGUUCAGCAACAUCCAGGGAAUGUCAUGUGGCACAGCAUGUCUUCCACAACUGAGGUUUCAAGAGAUGAGGUGACAUGAAACUCACCCAAGUGUUGGCCACGAUGUAACUCAAUGUCACACAUGCACCACCGUCAUGCCAUUUUGAACGUUGUUAAAUGUGCAGGCACACGACAUCCCUAGUUGUGUUGAUCAUGAGGACGCCAACAUAGUCUGUUGGCACAGGAGAUGCCGCCGUAGCUCCUGCCACACAAGCUGUGAAGAUGGUCUCAGUCCUAGCAAGAAUCCGGAUUGAAGUCAGUACUGAGACUUCAUGUCCUUAAGGGAGUAGAGGGAGCUCCAUGUUUUACAAGAACAGCUGUUCCUAGCUACUAUCCAGUCGGGCAUGGUGCUGCUGCAGGAAAUCCCAGCCAAAUAUCACCGGAUGGCAGGCCCCUUUGACAACUUGAAACUCUUGCUGGAGUAGUUCUUUCCCUAGGCGAAUGCCUACUGACAUAGUGCCAAACACUGUCCAUUAACAGAGCGGGCUAGCAUAAAGGAUGUCUUCAUGGGGCACUUUUUCAGUGCUGGAUGGGAUGUUCUAAAAUCCUUACUGAUGAUGGAAAUAGUCAAUCCAUAGUCGAUCCUGUGUCAAGAAGAGAAGACACUUCAAUUUUCUUAAAGAUUGCAAGAAUGCUAGCUGAAACACCCACUGUGGAAACCAUCUUGUCAGGGGAGUCAACAGGGAGAAUUGAGGGGUGUCAACAGGGAGCUCUGGUGAACUAGCUGAUGUUUGCUCCCCAACAACGACUAGUGAUUGUUUCCCUGCCGUGUGAAACCAGACACGCUUGUCUGCCCAUAUCUGUCAGGGGACUGGAACCGUAAACUGCGGCUGGCAUGAGGCUUUCACCUCUAUCUCUUUGGAGUUGGACUCGGGCUGCUGUUUCGUCUGUCCCUUGCAUCAGACUGGUUCCUGUAGUCUGGAUAGUGAGCUCUUGGUGAGUAAUCUGGAGAGUAGUUGCGACGGCGUCCACCAUCAGAGUCUCAAUCUCGUCAGCCUUGGCAGUAUUCUGGAGAGGCAGGACGGUACUGGCGGUGAGGCGCUGGACCACGUCCAUGUCGUUAAGGUGAGUAGUAGGCUUUUGAUGGAGGUUGCGCUUGACAGUCUGGUGAGAACCCGCAUUCUCCUCUUGUAGCAUCAUUGGAUGGUAUGGAGGUCCUGUCGGCCCAGAAGCCCAAACAUUGAUGUGAUGUUCUGUUUUUCUCCUGUAGCUGGCAUACCUCACGCUUCAGGCCUUUCACAGUGAGCAUCAGCUGUUCCACAGCAUGAAGGAGCUUCUCAUCUGUGUCAUUAGAACGAACCAUAGCAACCUGGUCUGGGGUCUGUGCCACUGG